rnacentral:lncRNA from 1 species
UGUUACUGAAAAAAGAACAACACAAAAAGCCGUUUAAAACAGACAGUAAUUAAAACUAUAUUAUGGCCUUCCAAAAACAAAUUCUCAUAAAGGCAUGCAGUCUCCUCAUGUUUUACUUGCUUCUCUUUUACACUCUCUUAUCUAGGAAAAACAGUGGAGUUAUAUUAUUUUCCAGAGAAAAGUCACUGUCACGGGAAUGGUUCAGUACACUAGCAGAAAAUCUCAGUGAAAAAACACCAAACUUGGUUACAAUUUAAGCAAGAAAUACUGAAGAAUGUGGCUGCGCUGAGAAUUUCCUGACCUUCAGAUUAUUGCUAGAAUGUGUGCAUGAGGACAUGAGUCUGUACCAAAUUUAUCUUCUCAAACAAUGGAAAAGAUGGCUGUUUAUGUCUUAAUUCACAUAUUGCUCUGAUGGGGUAAAAGACUGCAGAAAGUGUUGUAUCUCAAAAAUGCAUUAUAAAAGUUAAACUACUUUUUAUUGUCUUAAAAUAAGAAUAUGAAACACAGUCAAAUAAAGAAAAC